rnacentral:rRNA from 1 species
AGAGUUUGAUCAUGGCUCAGAUUGAACGCUGGCGGCAGGCCUAACACAUGCAAGUCGAGCGGCAGCGACAACAUUGAACCUUCGGGGGAUUUGUUGGGCGGCGAGCGGCGGACGGGUGAGUAAUGCCUGGGAAAUUGCCCUGAUGUGGGGGAUAACCAUUGGAAACGAUGGCUAAUACCGCAUGAUAGCUUCGGCUCAAAGAGGGGGACCUUCGGGCCUCUCGCGUCAGGAUAUGCCCAGGUGGGAUUAGCUAGUUGGUGAGGUAAGGGCUCACCAAGGCGACGAUCCCUAGCUGGUCUGAGAGGAUGAUCAGCCACACUGGAACUGAGACACGGUCCAGACUCCUACGGGAGGCAGCAGUGGGGAAUAUUGCACAAUGGGCGCAAGCCUGAUGCAGCCAUGCCGCGUGUAUGAAGAAGGCCUUCGGGUUGUAAAGUACUUUCAGCAGU